AGUGAACGCUGGCGGUAGGCCUAACACAUGCAAGUCGAACGGCAGCACAGUAAGAGCUUGCUCUUACGGGUGGCGAGUGGCGGACGGGUGAGGAAUACAUCGGAAUCUACUUUUUCGUGGGGGAUAACGUAGGGAAACUUACGCUAAUACCGCAUACGACCUACGGGUGAAAGCAGUGGAUCUUCGGACCUUGCGCGAUUGAAUGAGCCGAUGUCGGAUUAGCUAGUUGGCGGGGUAAAGGCCCACCAAGGCGACGAUCCGUAGCUGGUCUGAGAGGAUGAUCAGACACACUGGAACUGAGACACGGUCCAGACUCCUACGGGAGGCAGCAGUGGGGAAUAUUGGACAAUGGGCGCAAGCCUGAUCCAGCAAUACCGCGUGGGUGAAGAAGGCCUUCGGGUUGUAAAGCCCUUUUGUUGGGAAAGAAAAGCAGCAGGUUAAUACCCCGCUGUUCUGACGGUACCCAAAGAAUAAGCACCGGCUAACUUCGUG
rnacentral:rRNA from 1 species